GAUGAAGAAGGUAGCGAAAUGCGAUAAGUAGUGUGAAUUGCAGAAUUCAGUGAAUCAUCGAAUCUUUGAACGCACAUUGCGCCCCUUGGUAUUCCAUGGGGCAUGCCUGUUCGAGCGUCAUUUGUACCCUCAAGCUUUGCUUGGUGUUGGGCGUCUUGUCGUAUUACGACUCGCCUUAAAUACAUUGGCAGCCGGCACUUUGGCCUAGGAGCGCAGCACAUUUUGCGAUCGUAGCCCGUUGUACUGGCGUCCAUCAAGAACAUUUACCACGUUUGACCUCGGAUCAGGUAGGGAUACCCGCUGAACUUAAGCAUAUCAAUAAGCGGAGGA
rnacentral:misc_RNA from 1 species